UGGUUGAAAAUGGCUGACGACAGAUACCAGACAGCCACCCUCUCCAGAAAGAAGAGCCAAAAUUAGGAAUAAAAAUACCUCAAAUAGAAGAGAACACUAGAGUCCAAGGGUGAAUUCACAGCAAACACCAGAGGCAUAGAAAGAGAAGAAAGGAAGCAGCCAGCUUAACCAAGAUCAACCAAGAGCCCCGAGGGACUCCCUAUUACAGGAAAACGGUCCUGAAUUCCAGCAGAAUGGCUGAAGCCAACCAGUCUCAAGACCUCAACCAAGGAACCAACCAACUCUGCACAGGAAUGCGGUUUCUUCAUCUCCCUGUCCCAGGAAUUCCCCCUUGCUUCUUGACCAAUCAGCAAUCCCCACAUUUUAGCCCUACCUGUUCAGACCCUUUACAAGCUCCAUCCCCAAACCCUGGAGGGAGGAGGAUUUGAAGGUUCCUCUGUCUCAUUUGACUGCCCUACAAUUAUUAAACUCUUUCUCUACUGCAACUCC
rnacentral:lncRNA from 1 species